rnacentral:rRNA from 1 species
GACGAACGCUGGCGGCGUGCUUAACACAUGCAAGUCGAACGGUGAAGCGCCUUCCUUUUUGGUGGGUGGGGAUGAGUGGCGAACGGGUGAGUAACACGUGAGUAACCUGCCCCCUUCUUCUGGAUCACCGCAUGAAAGUGUGGCUAAUACGGGAUAUUCUGGGUCUGUCGCAUGAUGGGUCUGGGAAAGAGAUUGUUUCGGUGGGGGAUGGGCUUGCGGGUUAUCAGCUUGUGGGGGGUGUGAUGGGCUACCAAGGUGGUGCGGGGUAGCCGGCCUGGGAGGGUAGACGGUCAGACAGGGUGAGAGGCACGGUUCAGACUGCUACGGGGGGCAGCCGUGGGGAGUAUGGCGCAGUGGGCGCGAGUCUGAUGCGGCGACGCCGCGUAAGGGGUGAAGGCGUGCGGGUUGUGAACCUCUUUCGCUAGUGAAGCAGGCCUGCCUCGUUUGUGGGUGGGUUGACGGUAGCUGGAUAAGAAGCGCCGGCUAACUACGUG